UACAGGGGGUGCAAACGUUGCUCGGAAUCAUUGGGCGUAAAGCGCACGUAGGCGGUCUGUUAAUGUCGGAUGUGAAAGCCCUUGGCUCAACUGAGGAAGUGCAUCCGAAACUGGCAGGCUAGAGUACUAAAGAGGAUCGCGGAAUUCCCGGUGUAGAGGUGAAAUUCGUAGAUAUCGGGAGGAACACCGGUGGCGAAGGCGGCGAUCUGGGUAGAUACUGACGCUGAGGUGCGAAAGCGUGGGGAGCAAACAGGG
rnacentral:rRNA from 1 species